rnacentral:rRNA from 1 species
CCUACGGGUGGCUGCAGUGGGGAAUUUUGGACAAUGGGGGCAACCCUGAUCCAGCCAUGCCGCGUGCGGGAAGAAGGCCUUCGGGUUGUAAACCGCUUUUGUCAGGAGAGAAAUCUCUUGGGCUAAUACCCUGAGAGGAUGACGGUACCUGAAGAAUAAGCACCGGCUAACUACGUGCCAGCAGCCGCGGUAAUACGUAGGGUGCAAGCGUUGCUCGGAAUUACUGCAGGUAAAGCGUCAGCACAGGUGUGAAAUCCCCGGGCUUAACCUGGGAAAUGCACUUGUGACUGCACGGCUGGAGUACGGCAGAGGGGGAGGGAAUUCCGCGUGUAGCAGUGAAAUGCGUAGAGAUGCGGAGGAACACCGAUGGCGAAGGCAGUCCCCUGGGCCUGUACUGACGCUCAUGCACGAAAGCGUGGGGAGCAAACAGGAUUAGAUACCCCUGUAGUC